rnacentral:rRNA from 1 species
GUGGGGAAUAUUGCACAAUGGGCGCAAGCCUGAUGCAGCCAUGCCGCGUGUGUGAAGAAGGCCUUCGGGUUGUAAAGCACUUUCAGCGGGGAGGAAGGCGGUGAGGUUAAUAACCUCAUCGAUUGACGUUACCCGCAGAAGAAGCACCGGCUAACUCCGUGCCAGCAGCCGCGGUAAUACGGAGGGUGCAAGCGUUAAUCGGAAUUACUUGGCGUAAAGCGCACGCAGGCGGUCUGUCAAGUCGGAUGUGAAAUCCCCGGGCUCAACCUGGGAACUGCAUUCGAAACUGGCAGGCUAGAGUCUUGUAGAGGGGGGUAGAAUUCCAGGUGUAGCGGUGAAAUGCGUAGAGAUCUGGAGGAAUACCGGUGGCGAAGGCGGCCCCCUGGACAAAGACUGACGCUCAGGUGCGAAAGCGUGGGGAGCAAACAGGAUUAGAUACCCUUGUAGUCC